rnacentral:tRNA from 1 species
GGAGAGGUGUCCGAGAGGCUGAAGGAGCACGACUGGAAAUCGUGUAUCCCGACCAAAAUCGGGAUCGUGGGUUCGAAUCCCACCCUCUCCG